rnacentral:rRNA from 1 species
UACAGAGGUCCCAAGCGUUGUUCGGAUUCACUGGGCGUAAAGGGUGCGUAGGUGGCGAGGUAAGUCGGAUGUGAAAGCUCGGAGCUCAACUCCGAAAUGGCAUUGGAAACUACCUUGCUCGAGGGUUGGAGGGGGACUGGAAUUCUCGGUGUAGCAGUGAAAUGCGUAGAUAUCGGAAGGAACACCAGUGGCGAAAGCGGCUUCCUGGUCCAGCACCGACGUCAGGCACGAAAGCGUGGGGAGCAAACAGG